CUGGCGGCGUGCCUAAUACAUGCAAGUCGAACGAGGUGCCUUUGUAGCAAUACGAGGGUAUCCUAGUGGCGAACGGGUGAGUAACGCGUUGGUGACCUACCCCAAAGUGUGGGAUACCAGUCCGAAAGGACUGCUAAUACCGCAUGUGGUCAUCGGGUUUAGAAACCGAUGACGAAAGCAGCAAUGCGCUUCGGGAGGGACCUGCGUCCCAUCAGCUAGUUGGUAGGGUAACGGCCUACCAAGGCUACGACGGGUAGGGGACCUGAGAGGGUGACCCCCCACAAUGGAACUGAAAUACGGUCCAUACACCUACGGGUGGCAGCAGUAGGGAAUAUUGCACAAUGGACGAAAGUCUGAUGCAGCAACGCCGCGUGCACGAUGAAGGUCUUCGGAUCGUAAAGUGCUUUUCUGGGAGAUGAGAAAGGACAGUAUCCCAGGAAUAAGUCUCGGCUAACUACGUGCCAGCAGCCGCGGUAAAACGUAGGAGGCAAGCGUUAUCCGGAUUCACUGGGCGUAAAGCGCAUGCAGGCGGUUUGGUAAGUUGGGCGUGAAAUCUCCCGGCUUAACUGGGAGAGGUCGUUCAAUACUACCGGACUAGAGAGCAGUAGAGGAAGAUGGAAUUCCCGGUGUAGUGGUGAAAUGCGUAGAUAUCGGGAGGAACACCAGUGGCGAAGGCGAUCUUCUGGACUGUUUCUGACGCUCAUAUGCGAAAGCUAGGGUAGUAAACGGGAUUAGAGACCCCGGUAAUCCUAGCUGUAAACGAUGUGAACUUGGCGUCGGUGGCUUAAACACUAUCGGUGCCGAAGCAAACGCGAUAAGUUCACCGCCUGGGGACUA
rnacentral:rRNA from 1 species